rnacentral:rRNA from 1 species
GAUGAACGCUGGCGGCGUGCCUAAUACAUGCAAGUCGAGCGAAUGGAUUAAGAGCUUGCUCUUAUGAAGUUAGCGGCGGACGGGUGAGUAACACGUGGGUAACCUGCCCAUAAGACUGGGAUAACUCCGGGAAACCGGGGCUAAUACCGGAUAACAUUUUGAACCGCAUGGUUCGAAAUUGAAAGGCGGCUUCGGCUGUCACUUAUGGAUGGACCCGCGUCGCAUUAGCUAGUUGGUGAGGUAACGGCUCACCAAGGCAACGAUGCGUAGCCGACCUGAGAGGGUGAGCGGCCACACUGGGACUGCGACACGGCCCAGACUCCUACGGGAGGCAGCAGUAGGGAAUCUUCCGCAAUGGACGAAAGUCUGACGGAGCAACGCCGCGUGAGUGAUGAAGGCUUUCGGGUCGCGAAACUCUGUUGUUAGGGAAGAACAAGUGCUAGUUGAAUAAGCUGGCACCUUGACGGUACCUAACCAGAAAGCCACGGCUAACUACGUGCCAGCAGCCGCCGUAA